GGGGCCUUAGCUGAGCUGGGAGAGCGCCUGCUUUGCACGCAGGAGGUCAGCGGUUCGAUCCCGCUAGGCUCCA
rnacentral:tRNA from 1 species